GACAUACAUACUCUCCCUGGAGGAAUUCAGAGUAUACUUGGUUUAUUUUGUGACUCUUCUUCACUGCCCUCCUCAUCUCCUUAUGUUCAGCCUUCAGGAAGUAACGGAGCAGAGACCCCCCUGGCUGCACGGAGUGACGCUCAAAGUCACCAAGGACAUUGAUGGCCAAAUCAAGAUUGAUGUCAGAAUUGCUGAUUAGAGUCUGUCCAACCACAGGCCUGGAUUGAUGAGAAUAUUUUUAGAACAUACUUCACUCUUUGGCUCCUUUGACAACUCCUCACCAAUGUUUUCUUAUUUAAUUACUUUCCAUGUAAUCUGCUCCUGCAGACUUGCCCUCAGUAUUGCCUGCAUGAACAGCUUCCGUCUUGCAUUUCCUAGAAAAUACGCAUGCUCUGUCAUUUGGCAAGCACCUCCAGACUUAGGAGAGAGAUCUCUGUUGUGUCAGUCUCCACUCCUAUAU
ensembl:lncRNA